AAAGCACCCUGUGAUCCGGGGUGUCGGAAGCGCUCGCGACUGUCCAUGAAAAGGGGAGGGAAAGUAUCAUUCGCACCCCUGGUCGUACCAAUAACCGCAUCAGGUCUCCAAGGUUAGCAGCCUCUGGUCGAUAGAAUAAGGUAGAUAAGGGAAGUCGGCAAGAUAGAUCGGUACCUUCGGUAAAACGAUUGGCUCUGACGGCCGGGUGUAGGGGUCCAUCAUCAGAAGGUGUGUGCU
rnacentral:rRNA from 1 species